AACGCUGGCGGCGGGCUUCAUACAUGCAAGUCGAACGAGAAAGUAUCCUUCGGGAUACGAGUACAGUGGCGCACGGGUGAGUAACGCGUAGGCAACCUACCCUCGAGUGGGGAAUAACCAUCGGAAACGGUGGCUAAUACCGCAUGCUGUCGUGCAUCGCAUGGUGCACGAUGAAAGUCUUCGGAUGCUUGAGGAUGGGCCUGCGUCGGAUUAGUUUGUAGGUAGGGUAACGGCCUACCUAGGCAGCGAUCCGUAGCUGGUCUGAGAGGACGAUCAGCCACACUGGCACUGAGACACGGGCCAGACUUCUACGGAAGGCAGCAGUAGGGAAUAUUGGGCAAUGGGCGCAAGCCUGACCCAGCCACGCCGCGUGGAGGAAGACACCCCUAUGGGGCGUAAACUCCUUUUAUACGGGAAGAACCCCUCCCUCAGGGAGCCUGACGGUACCGUAUGAAUAAGCACCGGCUAACUCCGUGCCAGCAGCCGCGGUGAUACGGAGGGUGCAAGCGUUGUCCGGAUUCACUGGGUGUAAAGGGUGUGUAGGCGGGACGGUAUGUCAGAGGUGAAAGCCCACGGCUUAACCGUGGAAUUGCCUU
rnacentral:rRNA from 1 species